rnacentral:rRNA from 1 species
UUCGCAAUGCCCGAAAGGGUGACGAAGCGACGCCGCGUGCGGGAAGAAGGCCUUCGGGUUGUAAACCGCUGUCGGGAGUUAAGAAAUGUAAGGAUGUUAAUAGCAUCUUUGCUUGACUAAGGCUCUGGAGGAAGCCACGGCUAACUCUGUGCCAGCAGCCGCGGUAAUACAGAGGCGGCAAGCGUUGUUCGGAAUUAUUGGGCGUAAAGAGCACGUAGGCGGCUACGUAAGUCGGUUGUGAAAGCCUUCCGCUCAACGGGAGAACAGCAUCCGAUACUGCAUGGCUUGAGUGCGGGAGGGGAGAGUGGAACUUCUGGUGGAGCGGUGAAAUGCGUAGAUAUCAGAAGGAACGCCGGCGGCGAAAGCGGCUCUCUGGCCCAUAACUGACGCUGAGUGUGCGAAAGCUAGGGGAGCAAACGGGAUUAGAUACCCCGGUAGUCCUAGCCGUAAACGAUGGGCACUAAGUAGAGGGGUUUU